CAUUCAGGUAAUUUUUUAAGACUAUUAAAGUGUUAUAAUAAAGAGUAGGAUCCUAAAUCUGAUAUUUCAAACAAUAUUUGUUUUCUCUUUCUGCAGUAACAGAUCAAUCAUCAACGUCAUUGAUGUUUUGUUGGUAAGCACAUCUCCUAAUAGCACUCAGAUUGCGAACGCUUGAUCAACGCAGCUUCAACAGUCGUUGGAUUCGACAUUGAAGGCAGCUCCAUUGGCGUAAAUGGCAUAUCUUCCAGUGGAGUAAGACACAAGAUCAGUCUUGUCACCGCAUCCUGCCUCUGUCUGUUGUCAUGGAUACUAUCAAACCAGCAAUAGCAUUAGGGCUGUUUUUACAAUUUUAAUUUUAAUCACAACAUGACUUCCAUCACUGGAAUGAUUUUUUAAAAAUGUAUGGUGAAAUACUCUGUUGGUUCAAAAGGAUUCAUGAUGUCUUCAGUCUUGUUCAGCUUCAGAUGAACUUGAUAUAAAAUGUAACUUUGAGUAACGCGUCCAUUCAAUCAUCAUUAGACCAAUAGGCCAGACAUGUAACAUUACCCCAGGAAUGUAAAAAUAAUUGCACUAAUAAUGUACAAAUGAAUCUUGCUUCACUGAUCAAUUUGCUAUAAGAAUAUAUUUUUUUUUUUACAGUAACUAAUGCUAUCUUGUUUAAGUUUAGAAAACAUUUCAUAGAUUAAAAUGAAGAAACACAUCACUCAAUUGUCUAAUCCAUUUAAAUGUAUAAAUUAUGUAUAAUAAUGUAUAAAUACAGCCUAAUAUCACAAAUCAGCUUCAGGGGGCUUUACAAUCUGUACAGCCUAUAUGAAACCCUCUGUUCGUAGAACCCUACAGAAAAAAACUAACCCAAACUCAACAAAUAAACGAAGGACAAAUAGAAGAAACCUCAGGAAAAGGCUAUGGAGGGAUCCCUCUCCAAGAACAGAAAAAAACAACCCUAAACCAAUGCAGAGCUUUAUAAUCAUUGUACACAAAUACAUGUCUAAACAAUUCAAUGUCAAUCUUUUUAUUUAUGAAAUGUAUUUUUGUAAAAUGUCUUGUUUGUAUAUAUUCUGUCCGAAGAUUUACAGAAUACAAAAUCUCUAAAAGAAG